rnacentral:rRNA from 1 species
AUAGCGUAUAUUAAAGUUGUUGCAGUUAAAAAGCUCGUAGUUGAAUUUUGGGCCUGGCUGGGUGGUCUUGCCGCAAGGUAAGCACUGCUCUGGUCGGGUCUUUCCUUCUGGGGAGCCAACGUGCUCUUAAUUGAGUGCGCUGGGGAUCCAGGACUUUUACUUUGAAAAAAUUAGAGUGUUUAAAGCAGGCUUACGCUUGAAUACAUUAGCAUGGAAUAAUAGAAUAGGACUUUGGUUCUAUUUUGUUGGUUUCUAGGACCGAAGUAAUGAUUAAUAGGGAUAGUUGGGGGCAUUGGUAUUGAGUCGCUAGAGGUGAAAUUCUUGGAUUGACUCAAGACCAACUAUUG